AUUGAACGCUGGCGGCAGGCCUAACACAUGCAAGUCGAACGAGUGGCGGACGGGUUAGUAAUGUCUGGGAAACUGCCUGAUGGAGGGGGAUAACUACUGGAAACGGUAGCUAAUACCGCAUACCAUCGGAUGUGCCCAGAUGGGAUUAGCUAGUCGGUGGGGUAACGGCUCACCUGGGCGACGAUCCCUAGCUGUUCUGAGAGGAUGACAAGCCACACUGGAAAUGAGACACGGUCCAGACUCAUACGGGAGGCAGCAGUGGGGAAUAUUGCACAAGGGGCGAAAGCCGGAUGCAGCAAGGCCGAGUGUAUGAAGAAGGCCUUCGGGUUGUAAAGUACUUUAAGCGGGGAGGCGUUACCCGCAGAAGAAGCACCGGCUAACUCCGUGACAGCAGCCGCGGUAAUAC
rnacentral:rRNA from 1 species